UGGACUACCAUGGCUUUCACGGGUAACGGAGAAUUAGGGUUCGAUUCCGGAGAAGGAGCCUGAGAAACGGCUACUACAUCUAAGGAAGGCAGCAGGCGCGUAAAUUACCCAAUCCUGACUCAGGGAGGUAGUGACAAGAUAUAACAACGCGAUUAAAAUCGUGAUUGUAGUGAGGGUAUUCUAAAUUGAACUUCGAGUACGAUUAGAGGGCAAGUCUGGUGCCAGCAGCCGCGGUAAUUCCAGCUCUAAUAGCGUAUAUUAAAGUUGUUGCAGUUAAAAAGCUCGUAGUUGGAUUUCAAGGAUUCAAAUACUCCGGUAUUAUGGAUUCUAUCAGUCUUCGGACUGUUACUGUGAGAAAAUUAGAGUGUUUCAAGCAGGCUUAUGCAGGAAUACAUUAGCAUGGAAUAACGAGUGUGUCUAGAGUCUUGGUUAAUUCUAGAUUACGAUUAAUAGGGACAGUUGGGGGCAUUAGUAUUUAAAUGUCAGAGGUGAAAUUCUUGGAUUAUUUAAAGACUAACGUAUGCGAAAGCAUUUGCCAAGGAUGUUUUCAUUAAUCAAGAACGAAAGAUAGGGGAUCAAAGACGAUCAGAUACCGUC
rnacentral:rRNA from 1 species